rnacentral:rRNA from 1 species
UACGUAGGUGCAGAGUCGUUCGUUCGAUCUGGGCGUAAAGAGCGCGCAGGCGGUCGUUCAAGUCGCGUGUGAAAGCCCCCGGCUCAACUGGGGAGGGUCACGCGAUACUGAUCGACUCGAAGGCAGGAGAGGGAAGUGGAAUUCCCGGUGUAGUGGUGAAAUGCGUAGAUAUCGGGAGGAACACCAGUGGCGAAGGCGACUUCCUGGCCUGUUCUUGACGCUGAGGCGCGAAAGCUAGGGGAGCAAACGGG